rnacentral:lncRNA from 1 species
GACACCAAAGGAUAAAGGGACUAGUCAUAUCAAGUGUUGAAAAUACUUUUCUACCAGCAAUUAUAGUGAAACAGAAGCUUUGGCCUUCUAUACAUAAUAUACGUGUUGUCGAACUAGUGCAGGCUCCAAUUAUAGAGGUGGCGGCAACGAAAUCUCAGCCAAUUCAACUUCUUAAUCUUGAAGAAAAAAAAACAUCAAGUCAAUUUCGUGAAGCGAUUACUAUUAUGUCGCAGUCAAUCUUUAUAUCCCAACAAGACUACCAUCCAACAACAAAUUUGACCAAAAUAUUUCUUAUUUUGUAAAUCUGUUAUUAGUUUGUUAUUGAUCUAGGUCUUAGAAUGAAUACUAGCUAAUUACGUGACAGUAUAUCUUGAUGGUUAGACCCUUAUUUCUUUAACUAUAUCCUUCUUUAAAUGGUUUAUAUAUUAGGCAGGCUGUUAUAACAUUUUUAUGUGGCACACCGUGAAAAAUAUUAACAGCAUGAGAAAAACAUAAUAAUUAAUAACUCGUGUACAUAAGUUAAAUACUUGAAAGAAAAAAAAGAGCUAAAUACUUGAAUUUUAAGCCGUUGAAGAAACAUUGGUUGUUUUUGGCUUUUAUAGACGCAGGUUUGACCCAUUUAGCCGCAUAUUUCUAAUCAUUAUUGUUAGUUAAAACCUCUUACAAUUUAAACUUUUCAAGUGUUGUGAUGGUAACAUCUGUUUUUACUAUAAAUUCUAGUCUCUUUCAAAAGUUCUGUUUUUACUCUACAAUAUAGCUAUACGAAAAUGAUUUAGCCACAUAUUUCUAAUAAUUGUUGUCACUUAAAAAACCUUAAAAAUUAAACGAUUUAGCUAUCUAAGAUACAAUGUAGCAACAAUGGUUUAGGAUUAGCACUCUAUGAAUUACUGUCUUAAUUUUUUUCAUAAUUCGGGAAUUUUCAAAAUUCAAUCUUCAUAAAUGUGCAAUUCACUAUAUUAGUUGAAUUGAUCAAGAAACGAGAGUACAUGAAGGCAACGUGUCGCUAACUGCUGAUCUCAUCUAUUUUGUCGGGACUAAGCCGCCGUACGUCAUACCCUCAAACCUGGUCUUGUCCCACGUGGAACAUUUCACCCACUUCUGUGUAUCUUUCAUAGUAAUAGAUAGAUCCUAUUACGUAAUUUUCCUUUUGUUUCUAUUAAUAUUAUUAUUCAGCGCCAAUUAUCUUUUUGUUGGCCCCAUUUUCCGUUUUUGUGAUAAAUGGUGAUCGAGUUCGGAGGCAGCCUAAUUGUCAUACUGGACCUAUUGAAAUAAAAUAUAUAUUAAAAUAUUAAUAUUUUGGAUAAUAGCCCCCAAAUUCAAAUAUCUAAUCCGUUCUAUAUAUUUCCCAAACUUAUUGCCACUUAAGAUAGAGGUCACAAUAAGAAAACCGUUAAGAAGAAAGAAAAAAAGAAGAUUGAAAAUGGAAUAUCAAAAUACCUUCUUAAGUGGAGAGUUUUCCCCGGAGAACUCUUCUUCAAGCUCAUGGAGCUCACAAGAAUCAUUCUUUUGGGAAGAGAGUUUCUUACAUCAAUCAUUUGAUCAAUCCUUCCUUUUAUCUAGCCCUAGUUACUACUCUGAUGACUUCUUUGCAUUUGAAUCAUCAAUCAUCAAAGAAGAAGAAGAAGCCACCGUGGCGGCCGAGGAGGAGGAGAAGUCAUACAGAGGAGUGAGGAAACGGCCAUGGGGGAAGUAUGCGGCCGAGAUAAGAGAUUCAACGAGGAAAGGGAUAAGAGUGUGGCUAGGGACAUUCAACACCGCGGAGGAGGCGGCUCUCGCCUAUGAUCAGGCGGCUUUCGCUUUGAAAGGCAGCCUCGCAGUACUCAAUUUCCCGGUGGAUGUCGUUGAAGAGUCUCUCCGGAAGAUGGAGAAUGUGAAUCUCAACGAUGGAGAGUCUCCCGUUAUAGCCUUGAAGAGAAAACACUCCAUGAGAAACCGUCCUAGAGGAAAGAAGAAAUCUUCUUCUUCUUCGACGUUGACAUCUUCUCCUUCUUCCUCCUACUCGUCCUCUUCUUCUUUGUCGUCAAGAGGUAGAAAACAGAGUGUUGUUAUGACGCAAGAAAGUAAUACAACACUCGUGGUUCUUGAGGAUUUAGGUGCUGAAUACUUGGAAGAGCUUAUGAGAUCAUGUUCAUGAUCAUCUCUACUUCUACAGUUUUUAUGUAAUUUAAUUUGAGUGAGCUCUGGUUUGUUUUUAGUCCGUUGAAAAGUUUUGGAAGAGAUGUGAUGGCGAUGUUGGAAGUAUAUAGAUGGCAACUAUUGGGUUAAUGUUGGAAAGCAUGUAUUAUGUUGUUAUAAGUGUCUUUCUUUAAUUUCUUUAAUAUUUAUUUUGCCAUAAUUUCUACAAAAUUGAUCCGAAGAUUUUAAAUUAAUCUAUCUAAAAUUUCUCUUAACCUUCGAUUAUCCAAAGAAAAAGGUAGUCAAAAUUAAAGAAACGUAGGGCAUAACAAAGUCAAAACUAGAAAAAAAUGAUAAAGAGUCAUUUACUAUAGAAAUAUUUUGAAGGACUGCAAGCUCUGCAUCCAUAAUUUCUUGAUUAUUUGAUGGGUUAAAAAUUUUAUAUUCGAGAUUAUUAGGAAAACGUAUCGUUGAGAAAAAAAAAAAAAAAGAAUUACAUAAAAGGAUCGUGUAAGCUAAAUUCAUUAUCAUCGCUGGGGGAACGUAUUCUAGCUGUCUAGACGUAUUCGAUAAUAAAUGAAGACGAUGUUAUUCACUUAGACCAUGGGCAGUGGUAAACCUUUUACAAGGCUGGAGUAAUAAAAAAUAUGAAAAUAAGAGAAUAGUGCACCGUGGAGUUUUUGCUCUGUAACAUCUCUCAGAUAUUUGAGCCUACCCUCGNNNNNNNNNNNNNNNNNNNNNNNNNNNNNNNNNNNNNNNNNNNNNNNNNNNNNNNNNNNNNNNNNNNNNNNNNNNNNNNNNNNNNNNNNNNNNNNNNNNNUUAGCUAAGAACGUCUUAGCUUAUUAAGGUAUUAACUAUUUAAUUUAAAUCACUUUAAUACCUAAGAGGUGCCACGUGUCACGUUUUGAUUGGGCGGAUUUCACAUAUUCUACAGAUACGCCUUCUAAUUUUUUCGAUAAUAGAGCUCGAGUUCGUGAUCGAGGUAUGCAUCAACAAUUGAAAAAUGAUUUGGUCGAGCAUAUAUGGACAAAAUAUUAAAGAAAUUAAGUUUAAAAUAUUUGUGAUUUAUGUUAUAAAUUGUAUCUCAUGUAUGUUUUAAUUUUUUUAAUUUGCAAUAAUUAUUUAAUUUUCUAUAAUUAUAAAUUUUAUUUUUAUAUUAAUAUUUUUUUUUCUAAAAACCACAUGUUAAGAGCCUACCAUUAAUCACACAAAAAUCUUAACUCAAAAAUACUAUCUCUUAACAAUCACUUUUACAAAUAAAUUAUUUAAAUAUUACUAAGAUCUAUCUCUAAGAAACUAAUGCUCUUAUAAAACCUUAUAAGUACCUUGUAAAACCUUUUAAAAUACAUUGUAAAACCUUACAAAACACUUGUAAAUACUCCGUAAAACCUUUAAAAUACCUUAUAAAUUUUUCCCGCCAAAAAUUUUCCCGCCAAAAAAAUUUUGCCAAAAAAAUUGCGGAAUCACUUUUCCAGCAAAAAAAUAUUUUUUGCCGGGAAAAAUUUUUACCGAAAAAUUUUACAAGGUAUUUUAAAGGUUUUUACAAGUGUUUUGGCGGAAAAAUUACGGGAACACUUUUCCCGCCAAAAAAUAUUUUGUAUUUUGUGGACCUAAUUUUGUUUCAAAUAAGGGUAAAAUGGUCAUUAAAAAUUAAAAGAGGGCAAACUUAAAAAUGGACUCUCAAAGGGGGUAUUUUUGAAAAAGGAUAUUGAAAAAGGGGCAUUUUUAACAAUUUCUCAAAAAUUUAUUAUGUGUUUUAUUAAUAGUUUGGUUUAAAUGGAUAAAAUUAUGGUUAGUGAAAAAUUGUGUGUAAAUGUUUUUAAAAAAUUGUGUGUUAACCAUGGGAAGACACAUGAUAAAAAUUUUAAUUGUUUUAAUAAUAAUUUUCUAAAUUAAUCUUUAAACUGAUUAUAUCAUUAUAUGGUCUAACACUGUGUUUUUUUUAUGCAGUGGACCACUAAUAAAGCCUUAUUAGCCUAAUAUAUAUUUAUUGAUUUUUGACAUUAGUGGACCACUAAUAAAGCCUUAUUAGCCUAAUAUAUAUUUAUUGAUUUUUGACAUUAUUAUCUUCAUUAUUAAAUUGGACAGUCGUUUCCGGAAAUAUCUAACAUUACCUUCCCAAAUUAAAUAAGUUAACAUAUAUACAAUUUCAAAUUUUAUUCCUUCCACCUAUACUAAUAAAAAUUUAUUAGAUAAUAACCUAAAAUAUAUAAUGAUAUUAAAUUGAUUUUUUUUUUGUUUCCGGAAAUAUCUCAAAAUAUAUCACGAAAUUAAAUAAUUUUACCUUUCAAUUAUAAAAUUAACAGUUAGAUUUUUAUGGAAACUACUUUAAAAGAGUUCCAUAAAUUUGGGUAGUUAUUAAUUUGUUGAUUUUAUGGAAACUACUUAAAACGAUUUCCAUAAAUAUAGCGUAGUUAUUAAUUAGUUGAUUUAAUUUCAGAUAUUUUUUUAUAUAAAAAACAUAUAUCAAAUGGACACAAAUGCUUUUUUCCGAUUUUUUAGCUUUUUUUUUUCCAAUUCAAAAAUACCAAUGGCAUUUCAUGUAAUAUUCUAUAACAAAAAGGUUCUUUAUUUUUGAGUGAUUCCCAAUUAAUAGUAUAGAUUAAUUAUACAAUCUGUCUCAAUAUAGAUGCUAUAUAAAUGUUUUUUUUAUAUAUUUUCUGACACGAAAUUAUAAUUUUUCUUAUUGGUUGGGCUGCAACAAGGUUACUGGGCUAUACCAGAAACAGGGCCCAAUCAAAAACUAACUCUGAGCCGAAACGCACAGCUCCACUUAGCAGUUGACCCGACGACCAAAAGUCAAUAAUCAUAUCACGCAACUUGUGUUAGUUAUGAACAACAACAGUUACUAAUUUACGAUGAAACGUUUUAGAUUAUGGAAAAGAUGGUUUAAGUAAACGUUCAGGCGUGAUCUUCAUUUUAGAAACUAUUUUUAAAAAUCUGAUUAAAAACUUGAAUGCUAAAUAUACAUAAUAUUAGAAAAAAACAAAUUGAAUGUUUGGAAUUGCUAAAUACUAAUGUUGGAUCCAAAAUCCGGUUAGUUUUCAUAUCAUUAUGUAAAUUUAGUAUUCAAAUAAUAUUUUAUUUUAAAAAACAAACUUAAGAAAUAAAAGCUUUUAGUAAUCUGAAAAAAAAACAAAAUCAAAAUUUUAAAAACUAUUUUUAUAAAUCCGAAUUAAAAACUUGAAUGCUAAAUCUACAUAAUAAUAGGAAAAACAAGUUGAAUAUUUGGAAUCGCUAACGACUAAAGCUGGAUCCAAAAUCCGGUUAGUUUUCAUAUCAUUAUGUAAUUUUAGUAUUCAAACAACAAUUAAAAAAAAAAACAAACAUAAGAAAGAAAACCUUUUAAAAAUUCGAAAAGAAACAAAAUCAAAAUUUUAAAAACCAUUUUUAAAAAUCCAAAUUAAAAACUUAAAUGCUAAAUCUACAUAAUAAUAGGAAAAAUAAGUUGAAUAUUUGGAAUCGCUACCGACUAAUGCUGGAUCCAAAAUUCGGUUAGUUUUCAUAUCAUUAUGUAAUUUUAGUAUUCAAGCAUAAGAAAGAAAAGCUUUUAAAAAUCAGAAAAGAAACAAAAUAAAAAUUUUAAAAACCAUUUUUAAAAACCGAAUUAAAACCUUGAAUGCUAAAUCUACAUAAUAAUAGGAAAAACAAGUUGAAUGUUUGGAAUCGCUAACGACUAAUGUUGGAUCCAAAAUCCGGUUAGUUUUAAUAUCAUUAUGUAAUUUUAGUAUUCAAACAACAAUUUUUUUUUAAAAAAAAAAACUUAAGAAAGAAAAGCUUUUUAAAAUCCGAAAAGAAACAAAAUCAAAAAUUUAAAAACUAUUUUUAAAAAUCCGAAUUAAAAACUUGAAUGCUAAAUCUAUAUAAUAAUAGGAAAAACAAGUUGAAUAUUUGGAAUCGCUAACGACUAAUGCUGGAUCCAAAAUCCGGUUAGCUUUCAUAUCAUUAUGUAAAUUUAAUAUUCAAACAUAAGAAAGAAAAGCUUUUAAAAUCCAAAAAAAAAACAAAAUCAAAAUUUUAAAAACCACUUUUAAAAAUCCGAAUAAAAAUUUUGAAUGCUAAAUCUUCAUAAUAAUAAGAAAAACAAGUUGAAUGUUUGGAAUCGCUAACGACUAAUGCUGGAUCCAAAAUCCGGUUAGUUUUCAUAUUAUUAUGCAAAUUAGUAUCCAAGAUAAAAAACUAAAACAAAUGACCUAAAACAUAAAUAUUAGGAUGGGAUAGAAAUUGGACCUGACUAAUAAUGGUUUUGAUGUUGUCCUUACUCCUCCACGACAAAUCUCUGAUCUCGCAGCAAACCACUCUUCCACCACCGUGAUCGGAAACGAAUCCCCCACUCUCUCCGUCGUCGUCGAUUGUCGAUUUUUCUUGGACAACCACCGAUAGCUUUAAUUACUUCGAACGAUUCUAAACGAAGGAGCGAGCAUCAUCUUCCGUCACUAACACUCGUAUCUGGUCUGGUUGGCGAGGAUUUUGCGAAGAGCAACAAAUCAAGCAAAUAAGUUGGAGAAUAAAUAUGAAACGAAGAGGAGAAAUCGUAAAAUCAGAGAAAAUUGGGUAAGAAAUUGCAUCUUUCUCACUCUCUAAAACUCUCUGUGUUUCUUUGGUUUUUGAUACUAAAAACGAUUACACCGAGAAAGAGAGGAAAGCUGGAGACGACUGUAUUUAUAGACUCAUCUUCGGAUUCAAAGAUUUCCCAUUUUCUUUUUUACUCUUUCUCUGUUAUUUCCUUUUUCUUUGUGUUGUUUCCUUUUUCUUAACUCUUAAUGUGUUUAUUAUUUCCUUUUUUUCACUUAGCACUGAUUGUUUUCCUUUUUUGACAAUUUGUAGAAAACUCUAUGCUUGCAAUCUCUAUCUAUUAUUAUUACAAAAAGCAAGAUCAAUGUUCUUGGUUAGGAUUUGAUUUUAUUUGGCAAAUUGCUUAAACCAUUGAUUGCUUCUGAUUAUCUAUGAGAAUGUGUGUGUAAUUGAAUGAA